rfam:Thermoplasmatales archaeon E-plasma genomic scaffold AMDT2_EPLS00003, whole genome shotgun sequence.
GCCGUGAUAGCUCAGUUGGGAGAGCGCCAGACUGAAGAUCUGGAGGUCGCUGGUUCAAUCCCGGCUCACGGCA